rnacentral:rRNA from 1 species
AACGGCGACUGAAGCGGCAACAGCUCAAAUUUGAAAUCUGGCCCCCCGGCCCGAGUUGUAAUUUGCAGAGGAUGCUUUUGGUGAGGCACCUACCGAGUCCCCUGGAAUGGGGCGCCGCAGAGGGUGAGAGCCCCGUAUGGUAGGACGCCGAGCCUCUGUAAAGCUCCUUCGACGAGUCGAGUAGUUUGGGAAUGCUGCUCUAAAUGGGAGGUAAAUUUCUUCUAAAGCUAAAUACCGGCCAGAGACCGAUAGCGCACAAGUAGAGUGAUCGAAAGAUGAAAAGCACUUUGAAAAGAGGGUUAAAAAGUACGUGAAAUUGUUGAAAGGGAAGCGCUUGUGACCAGACUUGCGCCGGGCGGAUCAUCCAGCGUUCUCGCUGGUGCACUCCGCCCGGCUCAGGCCAGCAUCGGUUUCCGCCGGGGGACAAAGGCUUCGGGAACGUGGCUCUCUUCGGGGAGUGUUAUAGCCCGUCGCGUAAUACCCCGGCGGGGACCGACGACCGCGCUUCGGCAAGGAUGCUGGCGUAAUGGUCAUCAGCGACCCGUCUUGAAACACGGACCGAGGAGUCAAGCAUUAGUGCGAGUGUUUGGGUGUAAAACCCGCACGCGUAAUGAAAGUGAACGUAGGUGAGAGCUUCGGCGCAUCAUCGACCGAUCCUGAUGUUUUCGGAAGGAUUUGAGUAGGAGCAUUAACGCUUGGACCCGAAAGAUGGUGAACUAUACUUGAAUAGGGUGAAGCCAGAGGAAACUCUGGUGGAGGCUCGCAGCGGUUCUGACGUGCAAAUCGAUCGUCAAAUUUGAGUAUAG